rnacentral:rRNA from 1 species
GCCGGGACUGACUGCAUUCGAUGAUACUAGUGCAUGCGAGAUCAUUGUAGCAAUACAAUGGCUGACGGCUUCAGUCAUGCGUAGUCAACCUACCCGUGAUGGACGGGGAUAACGUCGGGAAAUCUGAGAAUAAUACCGGAUAGAACAUCAUACCUGGAAUGGUUUAUGUUUUCAAAUAAUUUAUUGCCGUAGGAUGGGCUGCGGCCUAUCAGUUGUUGGUGAGGUAAUGGCCCACCAAGACUAUUACAGGUACGGGCUCUGAGAGGAGUAGCCCGGAGAUAGGUACUGAGACACGGACCCAGGCCGUAUGGGGCGCAGCAGGCGAGAAAACUUUGCAAUGUGCGAAAGCACGACAAGGUUAAUCCGAGUGGUUUCUGCUAAAGGAACCUUUUGUUAGUCAUAGAACCACUAAUGAAUAAGGGGUGGGCAAGUUCUGGUGUCAGCCGCCGCGGUAAAACCAGCACCUCAAGUGGUCAGGAUGAUUAUUGGGCCUAAAGCAUCCGUAGCCGGCUUUGUCAGUUUUCGGUUAAAUCCAUACGCUCAACGUAUGGGCUGCCGGGAAUACUGCAAGGCUAGGGAGUGGGAGAGGUAGACGGUACUCGGUAGGAAGGGGUAAAACCCUUUGACCUAUUGAUGACCACCUGUGGCGAAGGCGGUCUACCAGAACACGUCCGACGGUGAGGGAUGAAAGCUGGGGGAGCAAACCGGAUUAGAUACCCGGGUAGUCCCAGCUGUAAACUAUGCAAACUCGGUGAUGCAUUGGCUUGAUGCCAAUGCAGUGCCGCAGGGAAGCCGUUAAGUUUGCCGCCUGGGAAGUACGUACGCAAGUAUGAAACUUAAAGGAAUUGGCGGGGGAGCACCACAAGGGGUGAAGCCUGCGGUUC